CGAACGGGGAGAUUCAUCGUCAGCGACGCUGGCUUCGCGUCGGUGGGCGAUGUCCCGCGGGGCCUCGCGGCUCGCGCGCGGGCACGCUGCCGUGCGUCGAUGUCCGGCGUUUCGUCGUCGUGCACUUCUCCCCUAGUAGAACGUCGCGACCCGCUGGGUGUCGGUCUACGGUCCGGGUGCGGUGACUGACGCGUCGCCGGUAAAACGGCACGCGUCAAACCCCCGGUCGCCCGGCCGGCUGCCCGGCGGUACACGCAAGGUAUCAGGCCGCAGCUCUCACCUGUGCGUCGAGGCCGUCGCAAGCGCGCGCCACGGUACACGGAGGCUAACGGACCUAGUGCCGUCACCGGUCCUGGCCCGCUGUUGGUCGUACGGUUAACCUUCGACAGGCCUACGAACGUCCCACGGGGUUUACCCCACGGGGACCGAUACCGGUCGGCGACGCUACU
rnacentral:rRNA from 2 species